AGAGCAAAUCUCAAAAAAACAAUCUCAGUUCAGACUGCAGGCUGCAACUCGCCUGCACGAAGUCGGAAUUGCUAGUAAUCGUAGGUCAGCAUACUACGGUGAAUACGUUCCCGGGCCUUGUACACACCGCCCGUCAAACCAUGAGAGUUGGCAACACCCGAAGUCGGUAGUCUAACCGCAAGGAGGACGCCGCCGAAGGUGGGGUUGAUGAUUAGGAUUAAGUCGUAACAAGGUACC
rnacentral:rRNA from 1 species